GCCGAAGUGGUGAAAUUGGUAGACACGCGGGUCUCAAAAACCCGUGAGCUUUGCUCAUAUCGGUUCAAGUCCGAUCUUCGGCA
rnacentral:tRNA from 1 species